GUGCAUGAAGGCGAUUCCUCUUCUCUACCGUGGCAUAUUAUAGGCGUUGCGUUGGGAACAGUUUUCCUCCUUGCCCUCAUAGUGGUAGCUCUUCUGUGUUACAGAAAGAGACGAACACAGAAAACCACAAAUGGAAACCAUGAACAGAUUCCUUUAUUAUCUAGAGAUAUACCAUUCUACAAAACUUCUACCUUCCACGAGGCAAAUAGUUUUCUCAAAGAUGGUGGGAAAAUUCUGUGUUUGAUAGGACAAUGGGGUUCUGGGAAAUCGACAACAGCAACAAAAGUUUAUAUGUCCCUUACUGGAAGGAAACCCAUUGUAAUAGAGGACAUAUUGGAGUUUGAUGUGAGUACUUGCCAGGAAUCUGUCAUCGUAGAAAAACCUUUACCAAGAGAGGAAA